rnacentral:lncRNA from 1 species
GUCAUAAUAAUAACACAACACCGUUUCAUAAUACCACAUGGUAUCGGAGCAGCGAACGAUCUAAUGGCCAGAGGACAGUGGCACAUGAAGAAUCAAAGGGGCCAGGAACCCUUGGCUCAGGAGCGCGCGAGGGCUUUGGCAGUGCUGGCGCGGGUGGAGCGGAAGAUCCAGGAGCGAAAGCGCCAACAAGCUCUUUGCCCAGCCUGCCGGAAGGUGUGCCCUUGUUGCGGCCGAGUUUUUCACGAUUCUUCUCCACGCCGUCCUUUCUAAAUUCUCUGUUUAAUCUAUUCUUAGAUUAAUAGAUAGAAUGUCUUCUGCUAACGCAGCAGGAAAUUCUUGGGACUCUGGGGGCUGGGAGAAACUUCUCCAAAAGUUCACGGGACAGAAUUUCUCCACUUGGAAAACAAAAGUACAGCUUAUCCUUUUGGCCAAGGACUGCUGGCCUAUAGUGGAUGGAACGACUCAACGUCCGGCUGCUGCGGAUGUAACCCAGCGGCUCGACUGGGACUCCAAGAAUCGAAAAGCGCUCUCUGUCAUCGGGUUAGGUCUUGGGGAUGAAUUCGUUCAUCUCCUUGAUCUUACCAAAACAGCCCACCAGAACUGGACAACCCUUACACAAAUCUUCGCUGCCAAAGCUGCCAAUGCUAAGGUGGUGCUAACACAAAGGUUCUUCACGAUGAGAAUGCAACCUGAUGACACCAUGGCCACUUACAUUGGAAAGUUUAAAGCGAUGAUCAGCGAGCUGAAGGACGCGGAAGCGGCAAUCACCAUCGAUCAAGCUAAGGCAUUCCUUCUGAGCUCGGUCUCCCCUGAUCUCCAACCUUUCGCAUCGAUGCUCUCGGCAGUGCCUGGAAAGGACUUGGACUCGCUCUACUCGGACCUGAUCGAGGAAGAACGAAAGCAGAACGAGCGGAGACAAAAGGCGCCCUCUCAGGCUGCUCGGGUGGAGCAGGCCUUGAUCAUGGGAAAGCAAUCGGGUGGGAAGAAACGAGAUGGCCCUGUUCGAGGACAAAAGAGCCCUUCUCCCAGCCCUGGAUUUGCAACCAAUAAAAAACGCAAGGGCCCAUGUAACUACUGCGGCAAAGCUGGCCACGUGGAGCGUGAAUGCCGGAUCAAGAAAGCCGCAGAGAAAGCUCGCGCUGAAAGAAGCUCUUCUUCACGCCAACCUGACACGAUGUUGAUGAUGACGCUCGCUGCAUCUUCAUCCACUGUGUCCGAAGCCGAAGUGCUCUGGAUGGAUUCUGGAGCCUCGAUGCACCUCACACCAUUGAAGAGAGCUUUUCACAAGUACCGCCCACUGGAGCAGGAGAAGCAAGUCUUUGUAGGAGACAAACGCCC